GGAAGGGGAAGUGGGAAGGGGCUGCUGUCUCACCGGGAGGAGGCCCUGGGUGGCUCUGUGGUGAGGAGUGCAUUCAACCUUUGUGACCAACAGACUCUGUGGAGAUGGUGCAGCUGUGACUGCUGAGAUUGCUCAACAGCUGUGUUCAUGUUAGUCUCUUGGACGACUUGCCCAGGGAGACAUCAGCCACCAUGUCAGGAGGACACUCAAGCAGUGCACGAAGAGGAACUGAGGCCUCUAGCUGACAGCCAGAACCAACCUGCCAGCUGUGAGAAGGAGCCACUCUGGAGAUGGACUUUCCAUUCUCUACCCCCAAGGUCAAGCCCUCAGGGUCUGCCAUCUUGGCCAACAACCUAGCUUCCACCCCAUGAGAGACCCUGAGUCAGGACCUGUGGGGGAUCAAAAGUGACUGCCAUUGUUUUGGACCACUAGUUUGUUAGGCAACAGUAGAGGAUAGCAUAGGCCCCUUCUGCCAGUUUUCCCUUUUCCGGCCUCCUUUUUUUUGGUUCGGUUGGCUGGCCUCGGCCUCGUGUCCACACACCUGAGCAACCAGGAUGAGGGUAAGGUGAGGCAGGCACCCAGGCUUCCUUCAGUUUUAUGCCCUGGCUGCCUGAGCUUCUCACCCUCGUCUGGCCCUGUAUCUGACUUCUGCACAAUCCCAUAAAAGGCCAGUCCUGGUGACCUUGCCCUUGACCUAGCUGCCUGACUCUACUGCUGGUCCCUGUGCACCUGCCUUACUUCCUGUGGAGAAACCUGCAGGUUUUAUGGCUUAUUAGGGCUGAGGGUAAACCCCUGCUGUCCAUUAAGAAAGUAGGUGGAGAAACGGAGGGGUUGGCCACCACCAGUUGAGGACGCCCCACAUAGACCUCACCGUGGCCCUUGCACCAGCCCUGAGGAUUCCAGGGUCGUCUGGAGAUGGCUAUGGCACAUCCCAAGUGGACACUGCAUAGACGGAAUCAGGAGACAUAACUCGGCUUUGCUCCUGCCAGUGAAACAGUCACCUAGUGGAAAAGAAAAGCCCUCCACCACUGAAUCUAUAAUUGCACCGGAAACUGCCCAGCCCUUGGUGGAACAAUGAGGGAAAUCUGGUUACGGGUCUACCGGCCUGGGGCAAGCAGAAACAAAAAUGAGGAGACCACCAAGACCCUGGGAAGGGCAGAGUUGGAGAAGCCGGCAGGAAAGGGACUCAAACGGAAGCCUCCUGGCACCAAGCACAGAGCCCUUUCAUCGUGUGGCUUCCAGCAUCUCUCAGGGGAGGCAAAAAGGAGCAGUUGAUUCCAGUUACAAGCAAGUCGGAACUGAGGCAUGAACUGUGGGAGGUGAGGACAAAAUUUGUCUUUCAACAGAGUGAUAUUUCACAGUGUGCUUUUUCUGUACAUGGUAUGUAAGCCAACCUUAGUGCUCCCUCUGAGCUACCAUGCAUGUCCCUUUCUUCCCCUUUCUUGGCUAUUCAGGUUUACUGAGUACCUGGAAU